AAGCUGGAUUCGCUAGUAAUCGCGCAUCAGCCACGGCGCGGUAAAUACGUUCCCGGGCCUUGUACACACCGCCCGUCAAGCCAUGGAAGCCGGGAGUGCCUGAAGUACGCGACCGCAAGGAGCGUCCUAAGGUAAAACCGGUGACUGGGGCUAAGUCGUAACAAGGUAGC
rnacentral:rRNA from 1 species